rfam:Oryza glaberrima chromosome 2 Oglab02_0376_18, whole genome shotgun sequence.
AACAAGUGCAGUUUUGUACUAUUUACGUUCAACGUUUGACGUUGAAUGUUCGUUUUAUUUGAAAUUUUUUUAUUAUUAGUAUUUUUAUUGCUAUUAGAUGAUAAAACAUAAAUAGUACUUUAUGUGUGACUAAAUAUUUUUAAAUUUUUCGUAAAAUUUUCAAAUAAGACGGACGGUCAAACGUUGGGCACGAAUAUCCACGGCUGCACUUAUA